CUGCUAUCGGAUUGAUACUAAGCCAUGCGAGUCAUUGUAGCAAUACAAGGCAUACGGCUCAGUAACGCGUAGUCAACCUAACCUAUGGACGGGAAUAACCUCGGGAAACUGAGAAUAAUGCCCGAUAGAACAUUAUGCCUGGAAUGGUUUAUGUUCCAAAUGAUUUAUCGCCGUAGGAUGGGACUGCGGCCUAUCAGUUUGUUGGUGAGGUAAUGGCCCACCAAGACUAUUACAGGUACGGGCUCUGAGAGGAGUAGCCCGGAGAUGGGUACUGAGACACGGACCCAGGCCCUAUGGGGCGCAGCAGGCGAGAAAACUUUGCAAUGUGCGAAAGCACGACAAGGUUAAUCCGAGUGGUUUCUGCUAAAGGAACCUUUUGUCAGUCCUAGAAACACUGAUGAAUAAGGGGUGGGCAAGUUCUGGUGUCAGCCGCCGCGGUAAAACCAGCACCUCAAGUGGUCAGGAUGAUUAUUGGGCCUAAAGCAUCCGUAGCCGGCUCUGUAAGUUUUCGGUUAAAUCUGUACGCUCAACGUACAGGCUGCCGGGAAUACUGCAAAGCUAGGGAGUGGGAGAGGUAGACGGUACUCGGUAGGAAGGGGUAAAAUCCUUUGAUCUAUUGAUGACCACCUGUGGCGAAGGCGGUCUACCAGAACACGUCCGACGGUGAGGGAUGAAAGCUGGGGGAGCAAACCGGAUUAGAUACCCGGGUAGUCCCAGCUGUAAACCAUGCAAACUCAGUGAUGCAUUGGCUUGUGGCCAAUGCAGUGCUGCAGGGAAGCCGUUAAGUUUGCCGCCUGGGAAGUACGUACGCAAGUAUGAAACUUAAAGGAAUUGGCGGGGGAGCACCACAAGGGGUGAAGCCUGCGG
rnacentral:rRNA from 1 species